AGCAGCCGCGGUAAUUCCAGCUCCAAUAGCGUAUAUUAAAGUUGUUGCAGUUAAAAAGCUCGUAGUUGAAUUUCGGGGUCAGUAGGUCGGUCGUGCCACUGGUAUGAACUGGUCUCACUGAUUCCUCCUUCUUGAAGAACCGUAAUGUCAUUAACUUGGUGUUGCGGGGAAACAGGACUGUUACCUUGAAAAAAUUAGAGUGUUUAAAGCAGGCUAGCGCCUGAAUACAUUAGCAUGGAAUAAUGAAAUAGGACGUUCGAUCCUAUUUUGUUGGUUUCUAGGAUUGACGUAAUGAUUAAUAGGGAUAGUUGGGGGCAUUAGUAUUCAAUUGUCAGAGGUGAAAUUCUUGGAUUUAUUGAAGACUGACUACUGCGAAAGCAUUUGCCAAGGAUGUUUUCAUUAAUCAAGAACGAAAGUUAGGGGAUCGAAGACGAUCAGAUACCGUCGUAG
rnacentral:rRNA from 1 species